GGAUGUGAGGGCAAUCUGGCUGGGACAUGUCACUCCAUUGAUCGCUUGGGUUGAUUAGGCUGAUCUGGCUGGCUAGGUGGGUGUCCCCUUCCUCGCUUGCCCCUCAACAUGUGUCCUUCCCAAAGCUGCAAAGAGAAUGGCCCUCCCCGAAUCUUCGGUCGAAGGUAUACCAGUAGCUGCACUCCCCUGCUAGAACCUCCAAACAAGCUCUCAAGGUCCUGAACGUAAGAACUUUCAUGUUCAUGUGUUGUGACUUAGUCCAGAUUAGUUCAGGCCCAGGUAAAUUUUUUUU
ensembl:misc_RNA 7SK 7SK RNA